rnacentral:rRNA from 1 species
AUCAAUAAGCGGAGGAAAAGCAACUAACCAGGAUUCCCCCAGUAACGGCGAGCGAAGCGGGAAUAGCUCGAGCAGCCAAUCUCUGGUGUCGAUCGCCAGCGAAUUGUGGCCGGUAGAGGCGGAUGCUCCCGAGGCGACUCCGUCGAAGUUGACCUGGAAAGGCACGUCGGAGAGGGUGAUAGCCCCGUGCGUGGCGGAGUCGCCGAAGGCCGCUACCGUCUUCGGAGAGUCGGGUUGUUUGGGAGUGCAGCCCAAAGUGGGUGGUAAACUCCAUCUAAAGCCAAAUAACGGCACGAGACCGAUAGCGAACAAGUACCAUGAGGGAAAGGUGAAAAGCACUUUGGAAAGAGAGUUAAAGAGGCCGCGAAA